GUAACAAAGCUAACAGGAGGCUCAACAAGACGCCACCUAACUAGUGUAAACACACCUGCAGAGUCCUAAGAAGGUCUAAUCAGACAGGUGGACUGAGAACACCUGUGAGGCUUUCAGCUUCUAUCAUAGCGUGCCUUGAGUUUCCCUUUUCUCUGCGUUCACAUGAAACCGCUGACAGACAGACGAGUGUUCGUGUGUUCUACCUGUCGGAAACCAACACCAACCUUCCUGUUUUCACUCACCAACGCCUUUGUCUCCGUACCAGAGAACCUGCUCAAAACCAAACAACAGGCCUCGCUGUGGAGAGGAGGAAAUGAACAUUUGAGCAAAUACCUCCCGAGGAGGAAGUGACAAGAUGUGUCGGUGGAUUAAAACAGAGAAGCUGAACAGAGGCGGCCUUGUUGGAAAGAAGUCUGAAGGAACCACAAAUUAGAUGAGAUAUUAAACCUGAACACAUGUCUGGACGGAGAAAACAAACGUCCUCUUACACACAAACACACUGACGGGAUGCAAAUAAGCUGUUUCCACGGCAACGGUCGUGUAAACACUCACUGACACGUGUUGAGAUGCUGCAGCCAGCAGAGACGGAGGAUAAACAUAUUAAAUAUCUGUCUCAUGGGGGGGGGACCAAAUACACAAAAUCAGCUUUAUGUGGGAAGUUAAACAAGACAGGGACGACAAAACGACCUGAAAUAAUCUAAUGGUCCACUUGUUCUGUCUUUGUAUGUGCAAUGAAGCACAGAAUGAAACGAGAAUUUUUGACCGUCCCAUUUUUGUUGUCAUCUUUGUUUUUGUCCGUCCCAUCUUGGUUUGUGGCUGUCACGAUUUUGUUUUUUGAAACCAGAAGUGACACGAGAGUGUGGAGUAAAGUCCAACCGAACGCUGAAUAAGGCCGCUUUCACAAGUCAACAUUUAGUCCAUUUGAAUCCAACUCCGGUGCGGUUCGUUUGGGCGGUUGUGAACGCAGUAAUCUUACUGUGGUUUGCACCAAAACAACUGGUCCGAGACGGCUUGCGAGAGGCGUUCUCGGACUGUUAAAUUCAACAUGUAUAAUGAGUUACAGGCGCUGCUGAACUUGUUGUUGAUGCUCAGUUAAAUUCUGCAUUUUAUAAUCCUACUGCUGCCUACAUGUGCAGGAGACAAGCUAUUAUUCAAAAGCUCUGCAUUAAUUCACGUGUCCAUGCUUCCUGUUUACACCGGCACGUGCAUGCCCAGUGUACAUGCGUUUUCAGUUUUCAAUUCUGAAACGGCCCUAAACGCUCGUCUGGACGGAGAUCAUUUACAUUUUAAAACAGAAAGACGUUAGUGUUGAUGUCUCCAACAACAGGGGCCAGUUUGACUUGUAACUGUAGGAGAAGCACAGGUGUAAAUAAUAAAAUGAAUGAUGGCUGAAUUCAGUUUAAUGAGAUUCCUGUGUAGUGCACGCUGUCUGUCUCUCACUGGGACACAGCAGAGCCCUCGUUAGUGUCAUCAGGAACACCUGAGCUCGUCCUACUACAACAAGUCAACAUGUCUGCAGUGUUAAAGGCCUGUUGACAGACUGUUUGUAUUCUAGACUGACUAUUUCUACAUAUUCCAGAUCUCUGAAUAUAUUUAGUUUCAUUACCAGGAAAUAGUAAAUACAUAUCUCCCCCCAGCCGUCCUCACAGGACAGCAGUAAUAAAUAAGUCUUUAUGUUGAGCUGUAGCUGUGAUGAGUCCUCCGUCCGGUCCGUCCUGUUGGUGUAACUGUGAAUGUUGGAAUGCAGCAGUGAGACUCGUCACUGUUUGAUGUCAGCGUCGACUGAAAACAUCAGAGAUCUCUAGACGAGAUUUAAAAUGCCGACAGUGAUGGAAAACGUGACGGAGAGAGGUGAACUGUUCCACAGCUGCACGGCAAAAAUGGAAAAUGUUCCAUCAUCCUUGGAUCUGAACUCGGACGGUGAGAAGGAGAGUCUGAGGGAAGAUCACCUGUUGACUCCUGAUGAAGACCUGACAGCAGCUCGGUGCGUCUCCUCUCUCAACCAAUCAGGGUGAGACGACAUCCUUCCUUUAGGGCUGAAGAGAGGAGGUGACUGAUCACCUUCUGGUCCUUCCUCCACUUGAUGCUGAGCAAAGAGACUUCUAGCUGGAGUGAAUAUUAAAGUCACCUUUCCACUGGAUUACCUGCAUCAGGACACACCUUAGUGUUGCAGGCCCUUUUCCCAGCAGCCAUGUUGACAUGUUACAGCAGGGUAAACACAGGUGGACCAUGAUAUUGUAUUUAGUGAGUCACAGCCAGCGUGCAUUAUACUAUUCUAUACAGCACACCCUGGAACACCUCAACGGAUCAGGAACAUAAGUAAUGUGAUUAAUUACACCUGCGUUCCUGCAAGAGUUGGUGCGCCUGCAUUCUUUAUUGGUUUACUUUCAUUGAACCCUCGUUCAAAGAGACUUUUAUAAAGAGGUUUUUAUUAUCAUUCAAGAGGCUUUUAACUCAUGCAUGUGGCUGCUAACAGCUGGUUGAGUCUAUCUACUUUGACAGUUACACUAUGAUAUACCGUAUGUCUUAAAACAUUCUUAAACAAGGCACCAUAAGAUAAGUCUUUAUACCUUAGUUCAUUAAAAUCAUACAGAGAAACAUGACCGCCAGAAAUAAAGUAAAAAUAUGAUGAUUUCAUUUAACUUUUUUUUUAUCAAAACAAACUCAAAUUUAUAUCUAAUAUAAUUAAAUCUAAUAAUGACAC